AGUGAACGCUGGCGGUAGGCCUAACACAUGCAAGUCGAACGGCAGCACAGUAAGAGCUUGCUCUUACGGGUGGCGAGUGGCGGACGGGUGAGGAAUACAUCGGAAUCUACUUUUUCGUGGGGGAUAACGUAGGGAAACUUACGCUAAUACCGCAUACGACCAACGGGGGAAAGCAGGGGAUCUUCGGACCUUGCGCGUUUGAAUGAGCCGAUGUCGGAUUAGCUAGUUGGCGGGGUAAAGGCCCACCAAGGCGACGAUCCGUAGCUGGUCUGAGAGGAUGAUCAGCCACACUGGAACUGAGACACGGUCCAGACUCCUACGGGAGGCAGCAGUGGGGAAUAUUGGACAAUGGGCGCAAGCCUGAUCCAGCCAUACCGCGUGGGUGAAGAAGGCCUUCGGGUUGUAAAGCCCUUUUGUUGGGAAAGAAAAGCAGCAGGUUAAUACCCCGCUGUUCUGACGGUACCCAAAGAAUAAGCACCGGCUAACUUCGUG
rnacentral:rRNA from 1 species